AUUAAACAUUUAUAAUGCAAAAGAAACAGAUCACUUUUAUUAACAGUUCAUAUAUCUUUAUAAUACAUAUACAACGAUUCAACAUAAAAAAGAAAACAUUUGAUACAAAAAAUCUCAAUAUAUAUGUGUAAAAAGACUAAUGAAUGGUAAUAUUUUCAACAACAAUGCAAGAUUCAUUUAUGUGCUAUUAUAGUAAAAUAUUUCUGAGAGAAAAACAAGAAAAUGCAAGUUUUUAAUUAUUGCAAUGUUAUAUAAUCAUUAAAAAUGCUUCAUAUACAAUUUUUUGAUUAUCUGAAGAUUCAACUUUAUAAGAUAGACAUUCAGCAUUUUGUUGCUCCCUAACGAAUUUAUCUAUACCUGUAAAUUUUGUACAUUUUAAAAAAAAAGCACAAUAGUAGAUGGUCAUUAUGUUUUCAAGUAUGUGGGCUUUUUUUUCCUGUAUAAGUUCAAAGUUUUUGAUCAAAAUAAAUUACUAUGAAGUUGUGGUCACAUCAAACUUAUAAGUUAAUACACAUGUUUAUGAUCUGAAUUUAAAAAAAAUAUACAUGUAUGCUAAUUCUCAAUUUUAACCUAAAUAUAUGCUAAUUCUAAAUUUUAACCUACAUUUUGCAGUUCAUAGAACAGAAAUAAA
rnacentral:lncRNA from 1 species